rnacentral:rRNA from 1 species
AUACGGGGGGUGCAAGCGUUAUUCGGAAUUAUUGGGCGUAAAGGGCGCGUAGGCGGUCUUGUCGGUCAGAUGUGAAAGCCCGGGGCUCAACCCUGGAAGUGCAUUUGAAACAGCAAGACUUGAGUACGGGAGAGGAGAGCGGAAUUCCUGGUGUAGAGGUGAAAUUCGUAGAUAUCAGGAGGAACACCGAUGGCGAAGGCAGCUCUCUGGACCGAUACUGACGCUGAGGCGCGAAGGCGUGGGUAGCGAACAGGAUUAGAAACCCCAGUAGUCC